UGCUUAAAUGUGGUCCAAUAUUCUUCG
rnacentral:sRNA from 1 species